UAUUAUGUUGGUGCAAAAGUAAUUGCGGUUGUUACCAUCAAAUGUAAUGGCAUUAAAAGUACUUUCAAUGGCAACAACCGCAAUUACUUUUGCACCAACCUAAUAUUUG
rnacentral:miRNA from 1 species